AUUGGAACGUUCUACAGUUGCAGUUUAUUUUCCUAUAAUUGGAAGAAAUCUUUUAUUUUGCUUCCAAGCAAUAAGACAUGUGCCUUCCCUUGCAAUACAAAGAUCAACUCACCAGUGGCUAAUUUGUUUCCUUCCCUACACAUUAUUAACAAGUUUGAAGAUCAAAAUUAUAAAGGAUCGCCAUCGAUCGCCCACAUUGCUAUUUGAUUUCGACGACCUUUCUGCUAUAUUAUCAUUUCCAGGAUGAAAAAAUCAAUGAGCGCAUACAUCAGAAAAUUUCUUUUAUGCACUGCUGGUAUAUAAUAUGUAUCAUGCAAUUUGUAUUUCCUCUACAUCUUUUGUGGGACAUUCCAAUAUAUUUCUUCCUGCUUAAUAAUUCGUCGUCGUUUGUUUUGAUGCAGGGGCUGCCGCCGCUCCCAACUUUCAAAUCCGCGUUGAUGUGCGCGAAGAAUAUGCCAAUGCCUUUAGGACCGAAUCAUACAAUGAGUUCUGGACACGUGUCCUGGCAUUGUCAGAUGAAAAUUCUGCCACGUAUAUUCCAGUCGAGACAUCCACAGCGGCUCGCCUUCCGUCGUAUCGCCUGUUCGUGGAACAUCUUUUGGAUCCAGACCAACCCACAGUCACCCGGAUCCUUGCAUUGGCUCAAAACCCACCCGCCGCCCACUCUCUUCUAACCCAAUAUUUCAACCAAACAGCUAACGCCUCUCUCUUAUGUGGCUCUUUACUAAAGGAUAUUAACCAUACACGUGUCAAAUACAGCUCUCUCAAAACCACCCUCCAAUCUAUGGGCACCACGCCCUUAUCGCCCGAAAAGCAUUUCCGGAUACUUUUAACCCGAAUAACCGAAUUCACCAACUCCCUCAACCCAUGUCGCUGGUCCGCUCCGUCUCCCACCCAGGUUCGAGCCACACAAGCCGAUUGCUCCAAUUUGCUCAAGAAGCUGGAGUCAACCCGCGACAGGGCUAAAUCCAAGCUGCAAAUGAGAAGUAGACUAAAACACGGCUCGGCUUUAUUCCUCGUGGCUUUAACAGCUUCACUUACAGUGAUCCUUGCAACUCAUGCUUUGGCUUUGGUAGUGGCUGCUCCAAGUCUUAUAAAGGCUUCAUUGGAUGUGGCUUCUAGCAGGAGGCUAGCUAGAGUGAUGUCUCAGCUUGAUAUGGCUGCAAAGGGGAGCUACAUUCUUAGUAGAGAUCUAGAAACCAUUAGCCGGCUGGUGGCUCGACUAAACGAUGAGCUAGAGCAUAUGAGGGCGACAGUUAAGUUUUGGGUUGAUAGAGGAGAGGAAUGGAUCCGGGUCCAAGCCAAUGGGGAAGUGAUGCGCCGGCUGAAGAAGAAUGAUUGCAGCUUUAGCGAGCAGCUAGAUGAAGCGGAGGAGCAUUUGUACUUGUGCUUCAUGACAAUUAAUAGAGCGAGAAACCUUGUCCUUAGAGAGAUAUUGGACCCGGGUCAACCCAUCAAGGCACCCAAUCUUCUCUCAAAAUAGUAUAUAUAAUUUACUUUAUUCAUAAUUGCAAAAUAAGACUGUAAAAUUAGUUGGGCCAUGUUUUUGAUGACCGAAAUUUUGGUUCGUUGGCGGUAUAGCAUUAAAUUGCAGGAAUUGAAUGUGUCGAGUUUUGAUUAAAAGCGUUAAAGCUGUUAUCAAUUGGCUUUA
rnacentral:misc_RNA from 1 species